rnacentral:rRNA from 1 species
AUGACAGAAGUGGCAUUAGCUAUAGCUGGCUUAAGAUUAGCUGCAUCGCCCGUUUUGAAGAAGCUCCUUGCUUAUUCUUCGACGUACCUUGGAGUGGACAUGGCACUUGAGCUCCAUGAACUGGAAGCUACUAUCAUGCCACAGUUCGAGCUCUUGAUUGAAGCAGCAGACAAGGGAAAACACAGGCCCAAGUUGGACAAAUGGCUUGAAGAACUCAAAGAAGCCUUCUACUUGGCUGAAGAAUUGCUGGAAGAGCAUGAGUACAACCGCCUCAAGCGCCAAGCAAAGGGGAAGGAUUCUUUGCCGCCCAAUGCCUCCACGAUCGGCAGCACUUUUAUGAAGCCUCUGCGUGCUGCAUCAAGCAGGCUGUCCAAUCUGAGCUCUGAGAACAGAAAGCUCCUUCGGCAGCUGCAUGAACUGAAGGCUACCCUGGCGAAAGCCAAGGAGUUCCGUGAACUGCUCUGCUUACCAGCCAUCUAUAAUGCAGAGAGCCCCACCAUACCACCAGUUGAUGUUCUUGAGGCCACAUCACUACAACCUAUGAAAGUGAUUGGUCGUGACAAGGAUUGCGAUCAUAUAAUUGAUCGCCUUACCAAGACAACUGCUACUACUGAGUCUGAGUCUAGUACAGCUAUGUACUCGGGUUUGGCCAUUGUUGGAGUUGGAGGCAUGGGAAAGUCCACAUUAGCACAACUUGUUUACAAUGACAAGAGGGUAAAAGAAUAUUUUGAUGUGACAAUGUGGGUAAGCAUCUCACGCAAACUUGAUGUCCGUCGUCAUACACGGGAGAUCAUCGAGUCUGCCUCUCAGGGGGAAUGCCCACACAUUGGUAGCCUUGAUACUCUGCAGCACAAGUUGGCAAACAUACUGCAAGAAUCAGGGAAAUUUCUUCUUGUGUUGGAUGAUGUUUGGUUUGAACCUGGCAGUGAGGGGGAAUGGGACCAACUAUUAGCUCCUCUAGUUUCACAACAGAUGGGAAGCAAAAUUUUGGUAACUUCUCGAAGGAAUACAUUUCCAGCUGCUCUUUGUUGUGAAGUGUGUCCUCUGGAAAACAUGGAAGAUGCUCAGUUCUUGGCACUCUUCAAACACUAUGCAUUCUCUGGACCAAAAAUCAUAGAUCUGCAGUUGCGCGAAAGGCUUGAAGAUUUUGCAGAGAAGGUUGCUAAAAGACUUGGACAAUCUCCUCUGGCGGCAAAAGUUGUGGUUCCCAGUUGA